CGUCGAUCGAGACGACGCUGGCGGCGUGCCUAAUACAUGCAAGUCGAGCGCGGAAUCUCUUCUGAUCCCUUCGGGGUAGAAGAGAGUGGAACGGAGCGGCGGACGGGUGAGUAACACGUGGGCAACCUACCUAUAAGACUGGGAUAACUCGCGGAAAGUGAGCUAAUACCGGAUAAUACUUUUUAUUGCAUAGUAAGAAGUUUGAAAGGCGGCGUAAGCUGUCACUUAUAGAUGGACCCGCGGCGCAUUAGCUAGUUGGUGUGGUAAAGGCUCACCAAGGCAACGAUGCGUAGCGACCUGAGAGGGUGAUCGGCCACACUGGGACUGAGACACGGCCCAGACUCCUACGGGAGGCAGCAGUAGGGAAUCUUCCGCAAUGGACGAAAGUCUGACGGAGCAACGCCGCGUGAGUGAAGAAGGUUUUCGGAUCGUAAAACUCUGUUGUUAGGGAAGAACAAGUCAGGUAGUAACUGACCUGACCUUGACGGUACCUAACCAGAAAGCCACGGCUAACUACGUG
rnacentral:rRNA from 1 species